rnacentral:rRNA from 1 species
UACGAAGGGGGCUAGCGUUGUUCGGAAUUCCUGGGCGUAAAGCGCGCGCAGGCGGUCUUCCAAGUCAGUGGUGAAAGCCCGGAGCUCAACUCCGGAACUGCCAUUGAAACUGUGAGACUUGAGGAUGAGAGAGGUGAGUGGAAUUCCCAGUGUAGAGGUGAAAUUCGUAGAUAUUGGGAAGAACACCGGUGGCGAAGGCGGCUCACUGGCUCAUUUCUGACGCUCAGGCGCGACAGCGUGGGGAUCAAACAGG